UUCUCCUGUUGCCACCUGGACACAGAUGUGUGGGCCACAAAAGCAAAUUAAUCUUUUUGGGGUUUGUUAGUGAUGCUUUUUCUGCCAAAAAUCUGGGUUUGUGCCCUGAAAUGUUUGAAUGAAAGGCCCUUCAAGCUCAGUGGUUUGGGUGGGAUCGUUGGCAAGGCCCGAAAUAAAACCUCAGCGGGAUGCAAAGCCCAUUCCUGGUGAUGGGGAGGAAUUCCAGGUUUGGGAUUUAUAAUUUCAGGUUUGGGAUUUGGAAUCCCAGGUUUGGGAUUUGGAUUUGCUCGUUCCUGGUGAUGGGCAGCAAUUCCAGGUUUGGGAUUUGCAAUUCCGGGUUUGGGAUUUGCUCACCCCUGAGAAUUCCAGGUUUGGGAUUUGCAAUUCCAGGUUUGGGAUUUGGAAUUCCAGGUUUGGGAUUUGUCAGUCCCUUGGAUUUGCUCAUUCAUGGUGAUGUGCAGCAAUUCCAGGUUUAGGAUUUGCAGUUCCAGCUUUGGGAUUUGGAAUUUCAGGUUUGGGAUUUGGAAUUUCAGGUUUGGAAUUGGGAUUUGCUUUUCCCUGGUGAUGGGCAGCAGUUCCAGGUCUGGGAUUUGCAAUUCCAGGUUUGGGAUUUGUCAGUCCCAGGUUUGGAAUUUGGAGCUCCAGGUUUGGGAUUUGCUCAUCCCUGGUGAUGAGCAGCAAUUCCAGGUUUGGGAUUUGCAAUUCCAGCUUUGGGAUUUGCUUUUCCCUGGGGUUCGAAUUCCAGGUUUGGGGUUUGGAAUUCCAGGUUUGGGAUUUGCAGUUCCAGGUUUGGGAUUUGCAAUUCCAGGUUUGGGAUUUGUCAGUCCCUGGGAUUUGCUCGUUCAUGGUGAUGUGCAGCAAUUCCUGGUCUGGGAUUUGCAGUUCCAGGUCUGGGAUUUGCAAUUCCUGGUCUGGGAUUUGCUCGUCCCUGGUGAUGGGCAGCAAUUCCAGGUUUGGGAUUUGCAAUUCCAGGUCUGGGAUUUGCAGUUCCAGGUCUGGGAUCUGCAGUUCCUGGUCUGGGAUUUGCUCCUCCAUGGCAAAUCGCGGCCUCAAGGAGCGGGCCGGGGCUCGCUGCCUCCCUCACCCCGCUGGGGGCAGGGAUGA
rnacentral:lncRNA from 1 species